GAUGAACGCUGGCGGCGUGCCUAAUACAUGCAAGUCGAGCGAACAGACGAUGAGCUUGCUCCCUUGACGUUAGCGGCUGACGGGUGAGUAACACGUGCAUCACCAACUUCUUAUUCUUGGAUAAUAACGGGAAACCGGAUCCACUACUGGAGCAUAUAUCGAACGGCUUGGAUCAAUAGUGAUACGCGGCUUUCGCGUUUCAAUUAGCCGGUUCCGGGCCGGAUUAGCUAGUUGGUAAGGUAACGGCUAACCAAGGCUACGAUGCGUAGCUGAGCUGAGAGGAUGAUCAGCCACACUGGAACUGAGACACGGUCCAGACUCCUACGGGAGGCAGCAGUAGGGAAUAUUGCGCAAUGGGCGAAAGCCUGACGGAGCAACACCGCGUGAGUGAAGAAGGUCUUCGGGUCGUAAAGCUCUGUUAUUAGGGAAGAACAGAUGUGUAUGAAAAUAUGGACGUCUUGACGGUACCUAAUGAGAAAGCAACGGCUAACUACGUG
rnacentral:rRNA from 1 species